rnacentral:rRNA from 1 species
UGGGGAAUUUUGGACAAUGGGCGAAAGCCUGAUCCAGCCAUGCCGCGUGAGUGAAGAAGGCCUUCGGGUUGUAAAGCUCUUUCAGCUGGAAAGAAAUCAUACUUACUAAUACUAGGUGUGGAUGACGGUACCAGCAGAAGAAGCACCGGCUAACUACGUGCCAGCAGCCGCGGUAAUACGUAGGGUGCGAGCGUUAAUCGGAAUUACUGGGCGUAAAGCGUGCGCAGGCGGCUUUUUAAGCCAGAUGUGAAAUCCCCGGGCUCAACCUGGGAACUGCAUUUGGAACUGGAAGGCUAGAGUGUAGCAGAGGGGGGUAGAAUUCCACGUGUAGCAGUGAAAUGCGUAGAGAUGUGGAGGAAUACCGAUGGCGAAGGCAGCCCCCUGGGCUAACACUGACGCUCAUGCACGAAAGCGUGGGGAGCAAACAGGAUUAGAUACCCUGGUAGUCCACGCCCUAAACGAUGUCAACUAGGUGUUGGGGAAGGAGACUUCUUUAGUACCGCAGCUAACGCGUGAAGUUGAC